AACGAACGCUGGCGGCAUGCCUAACACAUGCAAGUCGAACGAGACCUUCGGGUCUAGUGGCGCACGGGUGCGUAACGCGUGGGAACCUGCCCUUAGGUUCGGAAUAACUCCCCGAAAGGGGUGCUAAUACCGGAUAAUGUCUUCGGACCAAAGAUUUAUCGCCUUUGGAUGGGCCCGCGUUGGAUUAGCUAGUUGGUAGGGUAAAAGCCUACCAAGGCGACGAUCCAUAGCUGGUCUGAGAGGAUGAUCAGCCACACUGGGACUGAGACACGGCCCAGACUCCUACGGGAGGGAGCAGUGGGGAAUAUUGGACUAUGGGCGAAAGCCUGAUCCAGCAAUGCCGCGUGAGUGAUGAAGGCCUUAGGGUUGUAAAGCUCUUUUACCCGGGAUGAUAAUGACAGUACCGGGAGAAUAAGCACCGGCUAACUCCGUG
rnacentral:rRNA from 1 species